UAGCAUAUAUACCGAAGGAAAAGAAACUAACUAGGAUUCCCUCAGUAAGGGCGACUGAACCGGGAAAAGAUCAUCUUGUGAAUCUGUACAGGCUUGUCCUGUACCGAGUUGUGAUGUAAAGACGCAAAAUCAGUGGGGGUUCUGGACUAAGUCCCUUGGAAAAGGGCAGCAGAGAGGGUGAGACUCCCGUUCUUGUCUAGGACUUGUCACUAUGGUAUUUGUUGUCAACGAGUCGAGUUGCUUGGGAUUGCAGCUCAAAGUGGGAUGUAAAUUCAUUCUAAAUCUAAAUAUUGGUGGGAGACCGAUAGUGUACAAGUACCGUGAGGGAAAGAUGCAAAGAACUUUGAAAAGAGAGUUAAAGAGUACCUGAAAUUGCUGAAAGGGAAGCAAAGGAAACCAGUGCUUUGCCUACUAUUUUUCUCUUGCUGCUUGCAGCUAGGGCGCUGUGGUAGGUUUUAGGCCAGCAUGGGUUUGGCUUGAGACAAAUGGCUCUUCAGGAGGUAGGUCCCUCGGGACUGUUAGACUGUUGGGUUUUGUCUUUGGCUGGAUCGAGGCUAGUCACUAUGUGCAUGUGAUGCUGGCAAAAUGGUUUUCUUUACCCCGUCUUGAAACACGGACCAAGGAGUCUAACAUAUGUGCGAGUAUAGGAGUGGUAAACUCCCAUGCGCAAUGAAAGUAACAGUGGUAGGACCCUUUGGGGCACUAUCUGCCGGCCACAAUCCUUCGGGAGAAAGGUCUGAGUGUGAGCAUACAUGUUGGGACCCGAAAGAUGGUGAACUAUGCCUGAAUAGGGUGAAGCCAGGGGAAACUCUGGUGGAGGCUCGUAACGAUUCUGACGUGCAAAUCGUUCGU
rnacentral:rRNA from 1 species